UCUCUUUCUUUUCUUCUUCUUCUCGUUUCUUCUUCUCUUUCCUUUCUCUCAUGUUCUUCUUCUUCUCUUUUCUUCCCCUCCUGUUCUUCUUCUUCUGCGAAUCUGAGAGAUGAGUUUGAGAAUCUAUUCGAGAGAAUCAUUUGAUGAGGGAGAUGACGAGAAUUUAAAUCAUAAAGGAGAACAAGUACGGAUUUUUAGGGUUCCUGUUUGAAGUGUUGAAUCAGUGGAGAAUUGAAGAAAUUAGAGUUUAUAUAUUCGAUUGAUGUUCUGAAUAUCUAGAAGAUGAAUAUGGAGCUAUGGUUAGAUUGAGAACAAUGGGUAGAUGUUUAAAUGAAGUAUUGAAGUUGAUUCGGUGAUGAAUUGAAGAAAUCAGUAAUUUAGGGUUUCGACUUUGGGGAUUCUGACUGGAGGUCAACAAGGAGAAAUUAAAGGAUCGAGUUUGAAUGAUUCGCGGAUUUGAAUUGAUGUUGCGGAUUAGAAUUAGGAAAAAGAGGAUUGAGAAUUAUUUUAGGGUCUUCUAAGGACUAGUGUUGCUGAUGAAAGAUAGGGAUCGAUUGUGUCAGUAAGAAGGUGUUAAAGCUAUUGUUGGUGUUGAUUCAAGACUUGGGAAGAAAGGGUAAAUCGGGUUUAAGAUUUCAGAAUUCAUUUAUUCUUAAGUUGUGUGUAGUUGAGAUUGAAGUUCCUUGGUUGGGUAUGCUGUGUAUGGAUUAGUUUGGUCUCUUAAUGAAAUUACUGAGAUGAUUUUAGUUGUGGUGGUGAUGAUGUUGAUGUUACAGGGGAGGAGAUGUGUACUGGUGGUGGUUAUGUAAUUGUUAUCUUAAUUCUGAAUUGAAGUAUGUUUUUGUGGAUGUUGAUAAUUCUAGGACGUUUAGAUGGCAAUGAAUUAAGUUCAAGGAGGGUGUUGCCGCUGAUGUUGUUAUGGUGUGGAUGAGUGUGUGAUCUCAAGAGACGGGUAUGAGUAACUGUGGUUAAUGGAUCGAGUAUGAUCUCAAUUGAAGUUGCAGUAUGAUUGAAUUACAGGUUCAGUUGACUGGACUGUAUUUGUUUGAACUGGUAUUGAGAUUGCAUGUGUCGUGAAUAGAGUUGGCGGUGAACUGUGUAGCUGUAGGUAGAACUGUAACUCUUGGAAGGUGGUGUUUGUAUAGUAAGUGAAUUGAAAUGUCAUAUGUAGUGUGGUUGAUGUUGAUAACAGGGGUUGGCAGUGUCUAGAAUGGAUUGAAGUUCCUUUAGAUGAAUGUUAGGACUUCGCAGAGACUCAAAUGAAGAUGUAAGUGAGAGGAUAUUGAGACAUAAGCUUGUUCUAGGUGUUGGUGUUGAUGAUGUUGAACUGGUGGAAAUGAGAUGUUAGGAUUAUAGUUAAUCUCAGCUGAAGUUUGUAUGUGCAGAUAACAAAUUCCGUAAGAAGAGUUAGACCUGCAGUUAAGAGUUUAGGUAGAUAUGAAGGUCAUGGUGUUGUCUGGUGAGGGUUUUAUGUGCUAGUGUAGGAUGAAAUGAUUCAAGUUGAAUGAGAUGUUAUGUGACUGAAGUUUUAGAAAGAGAGUUAAUGAAUGUGUUGAGAUGAUCUGAGUUGGCUGAAAGCUGCAAUUGCAGUUAGUCUUUAUUAACAACGAUCGAUUCAAAGGAUGAACCAGUGGAUCGUGUAUCUCGAGGUAGGCGUGGCUUGUCAUCAAAAGAGGUACAAGCUAUGGAGAUAGGGGAUGCAACACAAAAUCUCUAGAUCCUGAACAAGCUGAAGCUUUGGCAAAAGCUCUAUUAUAAAGUGGGCCAAGGAAAAAGGUGUCACAAAGCUUCACUUAGAUGGAGAUAGCCAAAGAGUGGUGAAAGCAAUUAAUGGAACCAAAGGAGCAGUAAUCUGGAUCAAUGCAGGCAUAAUAGGAGAUUCGAUUUUUCUUUCAAAAGAUUUCACCACAUGGAAAUGUAGUUUUGUCCAUCGUGAAGGAAAUAAUGUCGCAGAUACAAUUGUAAAAAAAACUUUAUCUUUUUCUAGUAUCCAAGAAUGGGAACAACAGAUGCCAUCUUGGUUAACCACAACUUUAGCAGCUGAUGAAUCUUUGUUAAUCACAAACACUUAAUAUCAAUAAAAUCCUUCCCUUUCGUAUAAAAAAAAA